GACAAUCCACUUCCCAGUGUUGUGACAAGCGGCGACCGCGGUUGUACAGGAGCGGAAGCGUGAGCCUUUUGACGAGCGACUGUGAAGAAUGCAAAACCAGUGCCAAACUUCGGAAUCGAUAGCCCGGGCGGCGUGUUGGCACAGCGAGGAUGAGAACGAGAGACCCGAUAGACAGCGAUGACAGCUGUUCACGGCACCGACACAGAGGACAUAUUGCAGUGCAAGAUAGGAGCGGUCUUCCUCCAAGCCCAGACAAGCCAUAUUGAGUGGUAGGAA